GUGUGAGGGAUAUUCCCACUGUGACAUCAGUGACCCCAUGGGUGACCAGGGUUGUUUGGCUGGGUGGGUGUCCCCGUCUCUCAUACUGUUCUGUGCACGUCACCUCUUAAGCUGAGGAGCAGAGUAGAGGGAGCCAAGUGGAAGAAGACAAUCUUCUCGCCUGGGGUAGGCACGGUGUUCAGCCAAGGCUGAGGGAGUAGUUGCAUUCCCUGCUCGCAUCGCAUCACCUCUCUGGGCCCCAGUUUCCUUAUCUACAAAACAGGGAGGUCAGACACAUGCUCUUUGACUUGUUU
rnacentral:snRNA from 1 species